ensembl:lncRNA
UGUGCCAGUGGCUGGCUCCUCAGCCCCAGGGGGAAAAGGGUGUCAGAUUUUGCCUCUCUCGUAACUUCAGGAAAGAUUAAUGAACUUCAGCCCAUCUGCAGGUCUAUCCACAGAACUGUGCUAGACAGUGGAUAACAGUGAAUACCCUUUAAUUGGAAUGGUCACCAAUGGCCUCUCUCAGUCCCACCCCUGUGGAAUUUGGAUUCUUGUUCAUCAUCUUGCACAGAAAUUACCAUCAAACAUUGAUGAUAACACAGCUCUGAAGAGUCAUGGGAAGCUGCCACAAAAUGUAGAAAUGUUCUCUCUGAAUUAAUGGAAAUGCUCAGCUUACACUAACCGUGUACCACACGGGCUGGUUUCAUAACUUCCCCAAGACUGUCUGCUCUUCAGAAAGAUGGCCUCACAAUAAUCCCUCCAUCGGGGGAGAGUUGAGAGGAUUAAGGCGAGUUUGAAAACUAUUAGAACCGUUCUUACUAUGUGAUGAAUGCUUAAUAAAUGUUAGCUACUAUGACC